ensembl:scaRNA
GUCUCCUCCCAUGGUAGUGGUGCAGGGAAGCUUUCCCCUUGCAGCCAGUGGGCGAGACRGAACAAAAGCUAGAGGAAAGUCGUCGUGGCUGCCAGGAGCUCGUGGCUGCCAUGUUUUCCUGCCUCUUACACUG